GUGGGGAAUAUUGGACAAUGGGCGCAAGCCUGAUCCAGCCAUGCCGCGUGAGUGAUGAAGGCCUUAGGGUUGUAAAGCUCUUUCACCGAUGAAGAUAAUGACGGUAGUCGGAGAAGAAGCCCCGGCUAACUUCGUGCCAGCAGCCGCGGUAAUACGAAGGGGGCUAGCGUUGUUCGGAUUUACUGGGCGUAAAGCGCACGUAGGCGGUUUGUUAAGUCAGGGGUGAAAUCCCGGAGCUCAACUCCGGAACUGCCUUUGAUACUGGCAAGCUAGAGUCCGGAAGAGGUAAGUGGAACUCCUAGUGUAGAGGUGGAAUUCGUAGAUAUUAGGAAGAACACCAGUGGCGAAGGCGGCUUACUGGUCCGGAACUGACGCUGAGGUGCGAAAGCGUGGGGAGCAAACAGGAUUAGAAACCCUGGUAGUCC
rnacentral:rRNA from 1 species